AUUGCCCAGCUCUGAAGUUCAGAAGUACCUCACUGAACUCAUUGGGGCAAGGGGACUUUCUACUGAAAUAAUCUUUUGUCCUAUGGACAGAAAGCAUGACAAAGGGAAAUAAGGUGCCAACAGGAAUUUGCAAACCAGGAAUGGCUCUUAAGGAACAUGUAUUCUUAUACACAACCUCAUCCUUACAUCUUCCACAUACAGACCCACCAUCUCUCGCACACACGUUAGCAUCAAAAAGCUAUCCGACAAACUAAUACACACACGAUUAUUUUUGUUUCAAAAUGUAUCUUCAUCUCUAAUUUCUGUGGAAAAAAAGAAUUAGAUAGUGAUACCCACACAUUAGCAACUGAAAAACCGUUGUUCCUUUUCCUAGAUUUAGGAAUGUAUGCCACAUGUACAUUGCACCUUUGGUGCAUGAACACGCAGCCGUGUAUAUCGAUGGAUGCAUACAUCUGCAAUUUUGCAUGGUUGCAUAUAGACAUACAUUAUUAUUUGGGUAUAUAAUGUAUUAAUAUAUCAUUUAUAUAAUGCAUGCUGAUUAAUAAACAUCUCUCUGAGAUGCUUUUCAGCUAAUGAGUCACAAUAAGAAUUUUAAUGUUUGUAACUUCCUUUCUCCCAAGGAUCAGAAAGCACUUUACAAGUAUGAGAUAACUGACCUGCAUAAUGCCCUUGUGAAACAACUUGUUAAUGGAGUAAUUGAAGCAGCAGUAAAGUGAGGAGCCCGAAGUCAUGUGGUGAUUCUGCAGUAGAGAUGGGGACAGAAUCAGCAAGUUCUGAAUACAGGUGACUUGCAAGAGGCAUUUGAAGGAUUACAUCUCUCACUACAAAAACAAGCAUUGUAAUGGAAAACCAAGAUGUGCGCUGGAACUUCAGGGUUUCAUAUGUAGAGCAUUACAAGCAUUAAAUUAAAAGGAAAAAUGACAAGCUGACGAAAGGGCUGACAUGUUAUUUUAUGAAGCACUUUGGAGCCAGCUUCUGAAGCAGCUUUAUGUACAAACCUCUUCAUGAUUUAGAGUGGAAGUGGCUACAGCAUCUGAUUCUUGCUGGGGAAAACAGACCACCCAAUCAAGCUGGCUGUCUUGGGGGUUUGCUGCUUGCUGGGUAAAGUAGCUGCAGAAGGGACCCAGGAAUACACUCAAUAAAACCUUGCCUUUG